rnacentral:tRNA from 1 species
GGAUUUGGCUCAGUGGUAGAGCACUUGCCUAGCAAGCGCAAGGCCCUGGGUUCAGUUCCCAGCUCCA